rnacentral:rRNA from 1 species
CCUACGGGAGGCAGCAGUGAGGAAUAUUGGUCAAUGGACGAGAGUCUGAACCAGCCAAGUAGCGUGAAGGAUGACUGCCCUAUGGGUUGUAAACUUCUUUUAUAUGGGAAUAAAAUGUUCCACGUGUGGGAUUUUGUAUGUACCAUAUGAAUAAGGAUCGGCUAACUCCGUGCCAGCAGCCGCGGUAAUACGGAGGAUCCGAGCGUUAUCCGGAUUUAUUGGGUUUAAAGGGAGCGUAGGUGGAUUGUUAAGUCAGUUGUGAAAGUUUGCGGCUCAACCGUAAAAUUGCAGUUGGAACUGGCAGUCUUGAGUACAGUAGAGGUUGGCGGAAUUCGUGGUGUAGCGGUGAAAUGCUUAGAUAUCACGAAGAACUCCGAUUGCGAAGGCAGUUCACUGGACUGCAACUGACACUGAGGCUCGAAAGUGUGGGUAUCAAACAGGAUUAGAUACCCCAGUAGUC